rnacentral:rRNA from 1 species
CAGUAGCCACGGUAAAACGGAGGGUGCAAGCGUUAUCCGGAUUUAUUGGGUUUAAAGGGUCCGUAGGCGGAUCUGUAAGUCAGUGGUGAAAUCUCACAGCUUAACUGUGAAACUGCCAUUGAUACUGCAGGUCUUGAGUAAAUUUGAAGUGGCUGGAAUAAGUAGUGUAGCGGUGAAAUGCAUAGAUAUUACUUAGAACACCAAUUGCGAAGGCAGGUCACUAAGAUUUAACUGACGCUGAUGGACGAAAGCGUGGGGAGCGAACAGGAUUAGAUACCCCAGUAGUCCCUGUCUCUUAUAA